AAAGGAAUUGACGGGGGCCCGCACAAGCAGUGGAUCAUGUGGUUUAAUUCGACGAUACGCGAAAAACCUUACCAGAACUUGACAUCCAGAGAAUUCUGUAGAAGUACGGAAGUGCCCGCAAGGGAGCUCUGAGACAGGUGGUGCAUGGUUGUCGUCAGCUCGUGUCGUGAGAUGUUAGGUUAAGUCCUGCAACGAGCGCAACCCUCGUGUUGUGUUGCUACAUUCAGUUGAGCACUCGCAACAGACUGCCCGUGGUAAACGGGAGGAAGGUGAGGAUGACGUCAAAUCAUCAUGCCCUUUAUGUUCUGGGCUACACACAUGAUACAAUGGCAAGUACAAAGGGAAGCCAAGCCGCGAGGCGGAGCAAAUCUCAGAAAACUUGUCCCAGUUCAGAUUGCAGGCUGCAACUCGCCUGCAUGAAGAUGGAAUUGCUAGUAAACGCAGAUCAGCACGCUGCGUUGAAUACGUUCCCGGGCCUUGUACACACCGCCCGU
rnacentral:rRNA from 1 species